rnacentral:lncRNA from 1 species
ACGAGGUCCCUUUUGGCCCUUUCAGUUUUCACCCGUUGAAGGAUGAGCCCGUUGCGUCGUCGUCGUCGUCCUCAUUCAGCGCUCCAACUCCAACGGGCGGUGCGGGGUGGCUCGACGGACGAGAUACCAUUCUCGUCCUCCGCCCGCCGCCCGUGCGUGCUCAGAGCCUGUCAGUCCGUGCUGACAUGAACCAGGUACCGUGGUUUCUAGCCCCGUACUCUCGCAUUCAUGAUCAUGCGCUUCUGUAGGUUGCCUUCGCUUGGUCCCUGUGCUGCAUCUGAGCUGUUUGAUGUAUUUCCUCGCUGGGUCGUGCCGCGCAUUCAGUGACCGACAUGGAUUGGCAGGCACAAAAUGUAGUGAGGUGCUUUGUUGUAGUAGGUUCUAUUAGGGGAACGCUGUGUUUUUUUUUCUAGGUUGUACCUGUUGUGCUUGUUGUUCACAAGGAUUUCUCUAGCGAUAGUACUUAUUUUCUUCAUGCACUUUCGUUUCAAUCUCAUGUGCGGGUUGCUUAGAUUCACUGCAAAUUGGUUACUACGUGGUGGCAGUGAUCAACGGAUUCUGUUUGAGCUUAAGCUAUUGCAGAUGUAUGUAACCUCAUAUGCAUCUUAGCAUGUCUGAUGUUGAGAAUUGACGUGCUAGAGUUUGAACCAAAUCGAGUUGUGUAUCUUGAACUGCACCUGAAGUAAUGCUGGUUAACAAUGCUAUGCUCUCAUUAGGAACCUCAGGCCCCAGUUAAGUAGACAGCUACAAAAAGCAUGGUUGAAUGUAGGGUAAUUCCAUAGGAAAAUUACACCUACAAUUACUAAAAUUGUAAAAUAGAUAGGAAGGAAGUGAAAGUGACAUUUAUAUUCCAACUAUUUGUUUCAUAUAGCAGCACUGCACACCAGCCAACUAAUCUAAGAUACAUUCUCCUUGUGUAAAAGCCCUAGUACAGAUACCAACACACACAGACACAGUACAUAUCGAAGAACACUAUGUAAAAGUAUGAUGUAGUUGAGGUACUGAGCAAUAUGAAUAUACAUACAGGUGAUGUAUGCAAAAUAUGAACAUACAAACAGGUGAUGCUGAAGUUAGAUUAGUGGCCUGCUCUGGUUGCCUUCUAGCAUUGAACGGAGUUGGCUCACGACUUCCUUGAAGGAUGGUCUUUUGUCAGGCUCAUUUGACCAGCACUGUUCCAUCAGUUCUUUCCAUUGUGGGUCGCAUGAUGCUGGCACCGGUGGCCUCAAUUUGUUGCUCAAAAUUCCUCCUGCAAUUUUUCAGUCAGUAUUUGGGACCCACAGGUGAUGUUAUAGUAUUAGGAUACCGUUUAUGAUAACUUCAUAAAAUACCUAUAACUCCUCCAUGGUGCAUGCCAGCAUAUGGUUCCUGGCCCGUGAGUAUUUCCCACAUUAUGAUUCCAAAAGAAUACACAUCAACCUGUUGCAGUAUCAGAUAUAUUGGUAUAAGUAUAGACAGUACAAAUAAGUGAAUAGCUAAAUGAGAAGCAUAUAUUUCUUCUUCAUUUCAGCAACUUGAGUCUUCAGAAAUAACUUUUCAACAUUAUAUAGUUUCCAUACAAGCUAGAGCCCUCCUUAAUAACCAUUUGAAUAAAAAACCCUCCCGAAUAACAGAAAUAAGCAACUCGGCUAGUAUCAAAUCACUUGAUUCAAUAGUUGCCUUCCAGCUUAUUGAGUGACAUAUGAGAAACACACAUAAUACUAAUACCAUAACACCUUUUGAGUCUUGUAAUAUCACCACUUUCUUAGAUCAUAAAGAGAGAGUGAGUCCUACCUUGGUUGAUACCAAAUUGCUGCUCAUUUCAAGCAUUUCAGGAGCCAUCCAUGGAAGAGUCCCCCUCAUCCCACCUGAGACCAUUGUGGUUUGUUUCACCUUGGACAAACCAAAAUCAGCUACCUGUAAUCGUAAUUUACCAGUUGCUCCAUUUUAGCUCAUUUGGAAAAGAAGAGGUCAUUUAUACUGUUAGCAGACAGAUGUCUUAGAGGCGAAGAGAAGGACGGAAGCAGAGGAUAGGGUGGAGGAACUCUGUAUGAUUAAAGUUCAGGUGUCUCUUUACAUAUUAGCUACCCUCCACAACCCUCACCACUGUACUUAUACUCAUUACAUCAGUUAAGCACUUUGGGCCACUCACUCGCAUAUUGGACCAGCAGUCUCUCUUGGGCCUGCUAGCCUCCUCCCUUGACUCUAUUUCUUCACCCAUGUGUUGGUGGACAACUGCUUGACAGGGAACAGGGCUGACAUUCCCCCCAUCUUAUAUACAUAUACAACUCGCCAUGCAUUUUAGAUCAGCAUAAAUGAUAAAAUGAUGAAAAGGUGGCACACCUUGCAUAUGGGACGAGAUGGAUCAUUGAGAUUCACCAGUAAGUUAUCACAUUUCAAAUCGAAAUGAAUUAUAUCCUUGGAAUGCAAGUACUCCAUUCCAAUAGCCGCAUCCAUAGCAAGAGUAAUCCGUUUGCGCCGAUCAAGUAAUUUUUGUUUGUGCAAAAGGACUUUUUUGAGAGAUCCACUCGCCAUGAAUUCUGUCACAGUUGCUAAUGUCCCCCCAGGUCCAUUAUUCACAAUCCCGUAGAAUGCCAGCACAUUAGGGUGGUGAAGUUUUGAGAGAAUUGCUGCUUCUCUCCAAAACUCCACAAUCUGCAUGAUAAAAUUGGUUACUGUUUUCUGAUGAGCAAAACCUAGGUGACUAUGUCCUGGGAAACUUCUACUAACUACUAAGUCUACGGCGUGAUUGUAACUUCAAUUCAUCAUGUGAUUUUAAGGAACUGACCAGUUUGUCUGUCUCAGGUGAUGAAUACAUGAAACAGCUGUUCUUUAUCCGUUUGAUGGCAACAUUUGUUCCUCUCCAUCUUCCAUGGAAGACAGUUCCAAAUGCACCAGAGCCCAUCUCCUGUAGAUCUUCGAGGUCCUUGUUGCUUAUUACCUGUUAUGUAAGUAAAACUAAUGAUCAAUGGUACAUUGCCAGAAAUCGUGUAGAGUGAUGGUUCCUUGCACAAUAUUUCUUGUACUAAAGUUUCUUUGUUCUUCAUUUCAUUUUAGUUCCUUCCAUCCAUAUCUUUUAUUUUUCUAAGAGUAUUAUACAUAUUCCUUUUUCCUUUAGUAAAACUCUCAUAUUGUGGAUCCCCCACAAAAUAUUAUAACAGAUUCUUAUAAACAUAUAUAUUUGUAGGGACUCAAGAUUCUACCUUAAUUUACAAACAAACUACACACCUGUACGUUGCUUAUAAUGUCUCUGUCCAAUGUUGCAUUUGCAGGAAGGACUUGUUUAUUUUCCUUGGUUUCAUGUACCUGCCAUCAGAGGAAAUGCUAUGGCUGUCUUAGAAAUUGCUUCUGAAGUUAGCUCUCAUGAGUACAUAUGUGGAGGUGAUGAGGUGUACCUCAAGCUCUGAGAUUGGUGAUGCAAAAUUUUCUGUAACUUCUUCUGAUAAAGAUUCAAUCUGCAUACGGUUGCCUUCACCUCCCAGUGAAGUAGAUCUAACAAUCUGUAUGUCUUGCUGCCUGCUAUCGGGAGAAGCUUGCUGUUUUUCUCCAGAAGCAUGCACCAUCCUAUUUUUUUGCAGCUCAGCUGC